rnacentral:rRNA from 1 species
AAGCCCCAGUACGGCGAGUGAGCGGCAAAGCUCAAUUUGAAUCCUGCGGGAAUUGUAAUUUGAAGGUUUCGUGGUCUGAGUCGGCCGCGCCCAAGUCCAUUGGAACAUGGCGCCUGGGAGGGUGAGAGCCCCGUAUGGCGCACGCCGACUCUUUGCACCGCGGCUCCGACGAGUCGAGUUGUUUGGGAAUGCAGCUCUAAGUGGGUGGUAAAUUCCAUCUAAAGCUAAAUAUUGGCGAGAGACCGAUAGCGAACAAGUACAGUGAUGGAAAGAUGAAAAGCACUUUGAAAAGAGAGUGAAACAGCACGUGAAAUUGUUGAAAGGGAAGGGCUUGCAAGCAGACACGGUUUUACCGGGCCAGCGUCAAAUAAACGGGAGGGAAAA